rnacentral:rRNA from 1 species
CCUUCGGGUGGCAGCAGUGGGGAAUAUUGGACAAUGGGGGCAACCCUGAUCCAGCCAUGCCGCGUGUGUGAAGAAGGCCCUCGGGUUGUAAAGCACUUUCAGUGAGGAAGAACGCCUGGUGGUUAAUACCCAUCAGGAAAGACAUCACUCACAGAAGAAGCACCGGCUAACUCCGUGCCAGCAGCCGCGGUAAUACGGAGGGUGCGAGCGUUAAUCGGAAUUACUGGGCGUAAAGCGCGCGUAGGUGGCUUGAUAAGCCGGUUGUGAAAGCCCCGGGCUCAACCUGGGAACGGCAUCCGGAACUGUCAAGCUAGAGUGCAGGAGAGGAAGGUAGAAUUCCCGGUGUAGCGGUGAAAUGCGUAGAGAUCGGGAGGAAUACCAGUGGCGAAGGCGGCCUUCUGGACUGACACUGACACUGAGGUGCGAAAGCGUGGGUAGCAAACAGGAUUAGAUACCCCUGUAGUC